GGAUUGCAGGCUGCAACUCGCCUGCAUGAAGUCGGAAUUGCUAGUAAUCGCGGAUCAGCAUGCCGCGGUGAAUACGUUCUCGGGCCUUGUACACACCGCCCGUCACACCAUGGGAGUCGGUAACACCCGAAGUCUGUAGCCUGACGCAAGAGGGCGCAGCCGAAGGUGGGAUUGAUGACUGGGGUGAAGUCGUAACAAGGUACC
rnacentral:rRNA from 1 species